ensembl:lncRNA
AGACUCCUGACCUGAAUAUAUCUACAUGCCAAUAUUCAGAUAUCGCUAUAGCGCCACCUGCUGGCAACAGGAAGUGACAUGUUUUACGCCGUAACAAACUACUCCUAGAAAUUUUAUGCCAUUUUAUAAUUUUUUUUGGUCAGUCUAGUCUAAAGGCCUUUGCGAUGUUAAAUUGUGAACAUCUUGAGGUUUCAUUAAAGGGUGUGGCCAUGGCGCCGUGACAAAGUUCGAUGUCUCGCCAUGGGAAUAGAAGUUGUUGUAACUCAGGCAUAAGAUGUCCGAUCUUCCCCUAACUUCACAUGUUCGAAAAGAGUCUGGGCCUUAACACAUCUGAAGGUCAUUAUUCCACUAUAAUCAUAGCGCCACCUGCUGACAACAGAAAAUGGCUUGUUUUACACUAACUUAAACAUGCAAUGUCCAAUCUGCACCAAACUUCAAAUAUUUGAUGAGAG